rnacentral:miRNA from 1 species
UUAUUGCUUGAGAAUACACGUU